rnacentral:lncRNA from 1 species
CAGGUCAAAAAAUGGAAAAUACAGGGCUGAGGCGAAAUACAGGUGUUCGGAAGCAGGAAAUACACGAAAAUAGCUGAUAUACACUGAUAUAUACAAAAAACGGGAACUGGGUUAAACCCCAAAAACAACAGCGGAUUUGGCCCAAGAAAAGCCCAAAUUCAACUUCUCUCCCUUACUCUUAAAUUAUUUAAUUGUGAUUAUUUAUUAUUUGUUGUUUAUUAACUCUAAUUUUAGAAUUGUUAAUUAACUUAAUCAAACUCUCCAAAAGAUGAACUAUUUCUUUGUGUUGUUUUGUUUUAACAAAUUUCAUUUUAUCAACUCUUAUAUUUUUUACACACACUUGAAUAUUUUAGUCAAAACUUUCACUUGUCUUAUUUAAUUUAAAAGAUACUCUCUUUAAUUAAUUCAAUUGGUUUAAGUAAUAUUUAAAAAGAGAUUCAAAUAAAUUCUAAUAAAUCUGAUUUUGUUAAAAUCUUAAUCACAUGCAUUUUAAUUCAAAUGUUUCAUUUUAGGUCCGUUUCUCUAAAAAAUUAAAAUUAAAUAAAAUGUGUCCUUUAGUUAUUUAUUUUCUCAAAGUCAAUCGAAUAUUGUAAAUUAUUAUAUAUUUUUUAUGUUAAAUCAUUUUCCUAAAAAAAAAAUAGUCAAAAAUAUUUUAAUCAAGUCGUAGGAUAAUCGCGUGUUAGCGGACGCUUAAAAUGUCUUAAAAACCUUCUUGAACCGUAAAUAAUAACCUCUUACCCAUUUUCUCUAAAUUUUUAAAGAUUUAAUCUAUUAGAGUUUUUAAAAAAUUAAGUUUUCUUAGUUUCUUUAAAAAAUUAAGUAGCGACUCUUUUCUAAGUAUUUUUCUCAAAAUUGUUUUAUACUUAGAACAUUUCAAAAAGUAAUUUAGCUAAAAAUAGUAAAACUAUGGCACAACACUAUGUCUCGACAUAGAUGAUCUUCUUCUCCUCCUCCUUCUUCUUUUUCUUCGUCGUCCUCCUCCUUAUUCUUCCUUUUCUUCCUCUUCUUGUUCCUCCUCUUCCUCCUUUUCUUCCUCUUCUUAUUCCUCCUCUUCCUCCUCCCCCUCUUCUUCUUCCUCCUCCUCUUCCACUUCCUCUUCUUCUUCCUCCUCUUACCUUCCUCCUCCUCCUCCUCUUCUUCUUCUUCUUCUUCCUCGGUUUCAUAGUACUCUCGAAUAAAUUCGACCACAAAACAACCAUCAAGAAAUAACAUUUCUGAAAAUUUGCCAACAAUAUCAUUGUCUAAGUUAUUAUCAUAACACUUUAGUGCUUCAUCUUUCUUUUUCUCCAAUUCACUAAUGCAACUUUCCACAUCAAGCCCCUCUUUUCGCUGGAUAAAUUGUUGUAGGUACAACAAUUUAUACUUCUCCAUCGAACUAAGUUCAUGAGUCCUUUUAUGGUAAGGACCAAUGGAGAUCAACAUUGGUGUAUAAGCAUCCACAUAUGAUUUUCAUAAAAUUUGAUAUCAAGUUUAGUUGAACGAAAAACACUUUUAGGGUGUGUUUGAUACGACAAGAGAUGAUGUUUUUCCUUAAGUGAGUUUCUUAUUUAUGAAUUGAGCUACCUAGUGCCUUUUGAUGGUGGAAAGUGACAAAUAUAAAUACUUGAAAUAAACUGAUUAACAUUCAACUAGAAAACCCAAUACAAAAGGGGGACAUAGAAUUAAUGAAGAACUCAUAAUAAGAUCAUCAACACACAUAUAAAAUACAUGGAGGGAGUUAUGAGGAAACACUACAAUUGAGAUAAUUACUAGUACAUACUUCUUAAGAGGACCUGUGAAAGUUAAAAUAGUUUGUAUAGCUGUGAGUAUUAGGAGUAUAAUGGCUGCCACAGUUGAAGCUCCUACCCAAGGACUACUAAAAUAAUUGCGCAUUAAAUUUGCCUUCAUUCUAUUCCAUGGUUUUUCACGAUAUUCAAUUGCUUUUUUGAUUUCUUCUGUGUAAUAGAAGUUGAAAUACGUAGUGACCCCUUUUCCGAUUUUGUUGAAGAGGCUAGCAACUUCUUUGUCCUCUCCUAUCCAGUUCUCUAUGAUUCCUUUCUAGCAAAGCAAACCCACAUCUUUGUCUGAGUCGAUAAGAUGAUCCAUGAAAGUUGCAUAAUCGCUAAAAUAUGUAGGAUAUACAUCAGGUGAUUGUUGCUCAUAAGCAAUGAAAUUUCUCAGGAGAGUUUCUGUACCAUCUACGACUAGAAAAUAAGGGAUUGGCAUCAAUCCAUUCUCGAACUUUAUAUCAAAUAAACUUGUCAUAUUUCUGACCUUUGCAUAGCUAACUCCGGCUUCGGAAAGCUCUGUUGCAUUUGGCAUGACCGUAGGACUCGUUAAGCAAUCUUCUGAGUUUUUCAUGGGAUUCCCAUGACUUGAAAAUAUGUGUACUACAUGAAGUAAAUGUUUGACAUUUUCUGCAUUACAUUCUAUCUUUCCAAAGGAUUCAAGGGUCAUUUUUGGCCAGUUAACAAAAAAGGUAAACACCUUAUUCACCAGUGUUGCCAAUGGUAAAUCAUCAUCUUGCUUUGUCAUGUCAUGGAGCUUGUCGAGGACAAAGAAAGGAAAUUGAUUUUCUAGUAACAUCAAGUCUCGGAAUAUGUAAUUAUGAUUAAUAUUAAUAAUCUUGUCUUCUACUUUUGGAUAUAUUCCACAACAGUACUCUCGAAUAAACUCAACCACAAAAUAACCGUCAAACAACAACAUUUCGGAAAAUUCAUGACUAAUAUCAUUACCAAGCUUUUCUAUAUCUUUGUAACACUUCAGUACUUCCUCCUUCACUUUCUCCAAUUCAUUGAUGUAACUUUUCACAUCAAGUCUCUUAUUUCGUUGAAGAAACCUUCGUAGGUAUAAUAGUUUGUUCUUUUUCAUUGGACCAAGUUUAGUAUUCUUCUUAUGAUAAGGACCAAUGGAGACCAUCUUUGGUGUAUAAGCAUCUGAAUUUGAUUCACGUUGCCACACAUUCACUUUGAAUAUCGUACAUGAUUUAAUAGAUGAAUUGUCUAAAUCCUCAAACAUUUCAUCAAUUCUUUCAUUUUUGUCGAUUAAAUGAUCCACUUUCCUCCCUUCUUCUAUCUGUAACGGAGAAGAGGCAAGUAUACCCUUCUUAACUUUGCGGUCUAGAUCAAAUAUAUAUUUCGUAAAAAAAAAAGUAAUGCAUUUCAUUGUUUUAUAAAUGAUGCAUAUUUACCCCUUUUGUUAAUAGAGUGAAUUAAAAAAAAUAUAGAACUAAUUUUUUAAUUUUAAAAAUGUCACGUGACUUUAAAAAAUUACCACACCUUAUGCAUUACCCCUCCAAAUCUCUUGAAAUUCAUGCACGUAUAUAGAAAAAGAUUAUACAUUUAAUUGUCAAAAGAAAAGUGUGUUAAUGAAAUAAAAAAAUAAAUUUAUAUAGUUGAGAGAGACCUCAUCUUUUUUAGUUUGAGGAAGCAGUGGAAUUUGGUCAUCUAUUGGGGUAAUCUCAAUGGAGUGAUCUGCCAUACUUCUUUCUUCAACUAUAAGUCCUACAAAAGAAAGUUGUUUGUUUUUUAAAGAAAUUUUGAACGAAAUAAGCCAUUAUUUAAAACAGUUUAUCAAAAUAAUAUAUUUUUCUGAAAUUUUACAAAAUUAGAAUAAACAUAUUUCUUAAUAACGUUUUGGCUUUAUUUCAUUCAAAAGAAUUCAAUGAAAAAAAUACAAAGAUCUGACGGAGUAAAUAGAUAUAAAAUGUUACUAUCAGUAACGUUUUAUAAUUCGUCACUCUGAGACACAUUUACAGCUAAUUACGUUACUCAUAAUAAUGUUGGAGGCAAAGGCAGAGGCCAAUUAAAGGAUCAUUCAUAGACUCAAGGUUGAGAUUUGAGAAUUCAUCCUCUAUUUGUAAACAUAGCAAAAUUAGAAACAAAAGUGUUGGAGGCAGAGGCAAAUAUAGUUAAUAUUCUACGGGGUAGACUAUAGACUUAAUAAUUUUUGACAAGAAAAAUAGAUAUAUAUAAUGUAAAAAUCACUAGAAUUCUAAAGAAACGUUACCGUGAUGCCUCAGGGUAACAAAUUAUAAAAGAUAGCAACAUUUAAUAUUUGCUUAUUCUGAAUAAAAUAUAGCCUAAAACGUUAUUGAGAAGCACGUUUAUUCUAAUUUCGUAAAACUUCAAAAAAUAAAAACGUAUUAAUUUGAUGAAUUGAUUUAAAUAAUAACUUUGGUCAAAAAUCAUUUUUUUAAAUCAAAUUAAUUACAAAAUUUGAUUUGAAAAGAAAAGACAAGCAAAAAGGGAAAUCAAUUUUAAUUUUCUUGUAGCUUUAUGAAAAAGAACCCUAUAUACAUGUCUUGUCAUAACCUGUAGAAAAAUAAACUAAUUUGAGGUAACCUGCAGGCCUAACACACACACACACACAUAUAUAUAUAAGUACAUACAUAAAAUGGUGCAUGUGUAAAGCAUUUAAAAUAAUAAUUACCUUUUUGAUUUAUCUAUUUAUAAAUUGAAAAUGGACUAGUUGGAGUGUACUUGAGUGUCUUCUUAAAUUCUUCUCUGUUCAACUUUUUUGAGGGUGAAGAAUGAGAGAUGAAGAAUAAAAAAUUAUAUAUGAGUAUUAUAUAUAGAUUUUCUUUUGUGUGAUUACAAGCCUGCCUAUAUUACUAACAUGAAAUAAUGUACAUUGUUGAGAAAAGUAUCGUGGAAUAAAUAAAACUUCAGUAUCACAGAAUAAAUGAAUAAUACAUAAAUCAUAGAAUAAAUAAGGCUUCAGUAUUAUAGAACAAAUGUAUAAUACAUAAAUAUGUCUUUUAGUUUGACCUUGACUAAUAUUUAUACCCCUUCUAACUUUGCAUGUGCCCAAAUAAACACUUAAAUUUAUACAGAGUUGAACAAACACAUGCACAAAUUCUCCGUGGCAUCCUAUAUGUGUUUUGCCACAUAAAACGUGUGUAUGUGGCAUAAAGUUAGAUGUCUAUUGAGGCCAACAAAAAGACAUAUAUGCCUAGAAUAAAUAAAAUUUCAGUAUCAUAGAAUAAAUUAAUUUUUUCUAUCUUAUCACAUAGGAUAGGCCCAAGAGUCAUCCAAAGUUAUAGUAGAAAAGGAGUCAUUAAUGACAACUUUAAUUUGGUGUUCCAUAUACAAUGCUUUAUCAUCUGAUAAUAAUAGAAUUUAUUCUUCUCCAUGUACUUACAAGCAGCCCAAGAUUUUUAUAUCUCCCAACAAACAUGUUACAUGAGGUCCCUUAAACCCUUUUUGUGGAUGGUAUUUUUGCAAUUUAAGUGUAUACUUGUGCAGACUCAAAGUUGGAGGGCAUAGUUGUCUGUUAAAGCUAAAUUAAGGGUCAUGUUUAUGUAUUAUGCCAAUUAAAUAUAUGUAUGAAAUAAUGGAGGAUUUGUUGGGGAUAUGAGGUAUGAAUGGGAAAUAAGGAAAGUGUCAUUUUUCAAUAAAACAUUAACUGUCGUGUGAUUUGCUUUGUUUGUUGAGUUCGCUGGCGUUUUGUAAUUUGCAUUGCCGCUAUUACACAAAUGUUUUUCCAUUCUAUCCUGGGAGGAAGUAACCCGAAACCAUGGCAAUAGUGAGGGGGUUAUAGGGUUAUAAUUUCUUAAAAGACACACAAACAACUUGUGGGCUCGGAAUAAUAUUCUACUUCUUCUACAAACUUUUCUACAUUCUUCUUUGUAAUAGAAAUCACUAUAGAUAUUGACCCCCUGCCCUAUUUUAUCAAAGAUGUUAGCUACUUCAUUGUCCUCUCCUAGUUGAUUGCUUAUGAUUCCUUUUUGACGAAGCACAUUAAUUCACAUAUUUGUCUGAGUCGAUAAGAUAAUCCAUGAACACAACAAAAUCAGAAAGUACAUCAUAUGUUUGUUGCUUAUAGGCUACAAGAUUUCUCCAUUACAUCAUCAACUUCAAAAUGUUUGGUAGUCUUUUAUCUUUUGACAUAAUCUUCAUACUUAAAUACUGAACACUCAGGAAAGAAUUAUAGUAUGAAGAGUGCGACAACAUGUGUACUAGUUGAAGCCAGUGGCAGAUAAGGUUGUGGAUGCUCUGAAAGUGGAGGAGUCAAAAAUAUAAAAAAUGACAUGUUAAAAGUGAGAUUCAAACUCAGGCUCAGCAAUACUAAAAGAGCCUUAAGCACCCACCCAAGAGCCAAUGGACCAGUAAGAUCAUUUGUUCACUAAGUGCUCUAUGUUAAUUUUAUACAAAUACCUCUUAAUUUCUACACAGAUAUAUAUAUUCCGAGACGACGUUAAUGGGUGCUUGAGCACCCGGAGGACUCUAUGUGGGUACACCCCUGGUUGAAGCAGAUGUUUGAUGUAUUUGAUAUCACCUUCCCUCUCAAGAUAGGACCAUCAAUUUCCUUUGUCAUAUCAUGAAGCUUGGUGAGCACAAAGAAAGGAAGUUGGAAACAACAAAUCUCGACGUGCAAUGUUUAUCAUACAAUUCGCUGUUAGGCGUCAUUCCACUACACUCUUGAAUAAACUCAACUACGAAACAUCCAUCUAGUAAAGGUAUUUCUGAAAAUUUGCAAAUGAUAUCAUUGUUCAAGUUUUCUAUAAUGAGGAAACACUCACUCAGUACUAAAUGUAACCCAUGGAGGUUUGGCCGAAAAGCCACCUCUUGUACUCUUUUUGCGAAGUUAUCAAUAAGUUGGGGUCUAUACCUAACCCCCCACCAAUAGGUGGUUUUGAAAAAAAAAAGAAAAGGAAACACUCACUCAGUCAACAAUUGGUUACAUAGUUACAACAAAGAUUACUUCAUAACGUCACCAAUAAAAGCCAGAACAUUCUGCAUAACAGCGAGUACAAGAAGUGUUAUAGCUGCCACAGUUGAAGCUCCUACCCAAGGACUCGAGAAAUAGUUGUGCCUUAAACUAGCCUUCAUUUGACUCCAUGGCUUAUCACAAUGUUGAAUCAAUUUGCUGCAUUCUUUUAUGUAAUAAAAGCUUGUGAUUUCCACCCCAUCUGAAAGUUUCUUGAAAAUGCUGGCCACAUGUUUGUCAUCCCCUAUGUCCUUAAGGAUGAUUUUCUCCUUGCGAAGAAACUUCACAUCUCAUGAAGGUUUCCAUAGUAUCCUCGAUUACAAAACAAGGUAUUUUCAUUAAUCCCUUCUCAAACUUGAUAUCGAAUAAUGUUGUUUUAUCCUCCUUCUUUUCUUGCACAUAUCCUAUUCUUAUGAAUCUAACUCCAGCAUCGUAAAGCUCUGUUACACUUGGAAUAUGAUAGCAAUCCCAUAAACCAAGAACUUUGGGAGUUUCUUUUGACUUCGUUAAUUGCAAAACGUUGUCACAAAAUCUUAUCUUGCAACAUUCUUUUGGUGUAGUAGAAUUUGUGUUUUGUUUAGCUUUCAUAUGAUCAUGAUCUGAUGGUCGAGAAAACAUGUGUACUACGUGAACUAAAUGAUUGAAUUGUUCUGUAUUAAAAUUGUGAAUCUCUGGUGGGGGUAUGAAUUUCGCCUUUGGGAAAGUAUCAAGUAAGGUCUUUCUUACCAUAAACAAGAAGCUCACUUCUUUAUGAUGCUUUGUCAUGUCAUGAAGCAUGGUAAGUACAAAGAAAGGGAGUUGAUUUUCUAGUAACACCAUGUCUCGACACACUUGUUUCUUCAUCCAUUCCAAGUUGAUGAUGUUGUCGUUGUCUUCUUCUUCUUCUUUUUCCUCGGUUGCAUAGUACUCUCGCAUAAAUUUGACCACAAAACAACCAUCAAGCAACAACAAUUUUGAAAAUUUGCCAACAAUAUCAUCGUCAAAGUUAUCGUCAUAACACUUUAGUGUUUCAUCUUUCUUUUUCUCCAAUGCACUAAUGCAACUUUCCACAUCAAACCCUUCUUUUCGCUCGAGAAAUUGUUGUAGGUACAACAAUUUGUACUUCUCCAUCGAACUAAGUUCAUGAGUCCUUUUAUGGUAAGGACCAAUGGAGAUCAACAUUGGCAUAUAAGCAUCUGCAUUUGAUUUUCGUAAAAUUUGAUAUCAAGUUUAAUUGAAGAAAAACACUUUUAGGAUGUGUUUGAUACGACAAGAGAUGAUAUUUAUUUUUUUAAAAAUAAGUGAAUUUCUUAUUUAUGAAUUGAGCUACCUAGUGCCUUUUGAUGGUGGAAAGUGACAAAAAAUAUAGAUAAACUAAUUAACAUUCAACUAGAAAACCCAAUACAAAAGGGGGACAUAGAAUUAAUGAAGAACUCAUAAAAAGAUCAUCAACACAUAUAUAAAAUACAUGGAGGGAGUUGUGAGGAAACACUACAAUUGAGAUAAUUACUUUUUAAUAGGACCUGUCAAAGUUAAAAUAGUUUGUAUAGUUGUGAGUAUGAGCAGUAUAAUGGCUGCCACAGUUGAAGCUCCUACCCAAGGACUACUAAAAUAAUUGUGCAUUAAAUUCGCCUUCAUUCUAUUCCAUGGUUUUUCACAAUGCUCAAUUGCUUUUGUUAUUUCUUCUUUGUAAUAGAAGCUAGAAUACGUAGUGAUUCCUUUUCCGAUUUUGUUGAAUAGGGUAGCAACUUCUUUGUCCUCUCCUAUCCAGUUCUCUAUGAUUCCUUUCUGGAAAAGCAAAUUCACAUCUUUGUCUGAGUCGAUAAGAUGAUUCAUGAAAGUUGCAUAAUCGCUAAAAUAUCUAGGAUCUACAUCAGAUGAUUGUUGCUCAUACGCAAUGAGAUUUCGCAGGACAGUUUCUGUACCAUCUACGACUAGAAAACAAGGGAUUGUCAUCAAUCCAUUCUCGAACUUUAUAUUAAGUAAACUUGUCACAUUUUUUACCUUUGCAAAGCUAACUCCAGCUUCAGAAAGCUCUGUUGCAUUUGGCAUCACCCUUUGACACUUUAUGCUAUUGUUUAACUUUUUCAUGGGAUUCCCAUGACAUGAAACUAUGUGUACUAGAUGAAGUAAAUGUUUGAUAUUUUCUGCAUUACAUUCUAUCUUUUCAGGGGAUUCAAGGUCCAUAUUUGGCCGGUUAACAAAAAAGGUAAACACCUUAUUCACCAGUAUUGCCAAUGGUAAUUCAUUAUCUUGCUUUGUCAUGUCAUGAAGCUUGUUGACGACAAAGAAAGGAAGUUGAUUUUCUAGUAACAUCAAGUCUCGGAGUAUGUAAACAUGAUUAAUAUUAAUAAUCUUGUCUUCUCCUUUUGGAUAUAUUCCAUAACACUCUCGAAUAAACUCAACCACAAAACAACCAUCAAAUAACAACAUUUCGCAAAAUUCAUGACCAUCGUUACCAAACUUUUCUAAAUCUUCGUAACACUUCAAUACUUUCUCCUUAACUUUCUCCAAUUCACUGAUGUAACUUUUCACAUCAAGUCUCUUAUUUCGUUGAAGAAACCGUCGUAGGUAUAAUAGUUUGUACUUUUUCAUUGGACCAAGUUGAGUAUUCUUCUUAUGGUAAGGACCAAUGGAGACCAUCUUCGGUGUAUAAGCAUCUGGAUUUGAUUCACGUUGCCACACAUUUACUUUGAAUAUCGUACACGAUUUAAUAGAUGAAUUGUCUAAAUCCUCAAACAUUUCAUCAAUUCUUUCAUUUAUGUCGAUUAAAUGAUCCACUUUCCUCUCUUCUUCUAUCUGUAACGGAGAAGAGGCAAGUAUACCCUUCUUAACUUUGUGGUCUAGAUUAAAUAUAUAUUUCGUAAAAAAAAAGUAAUGCAUAUAUACCUUCAUUGUUUUAUAAAUGAUGCAUAUUUACCCCUUUUGUUAAUAGAAUGAAUUAAAAAUAAUAUAAAACUAAUUUUUUAAUUUCAAAAAUGUCAUGUGACUUUAAAAAAUUACCACACCUUAUGCAUUACCCCUCCAAAUCUCAUGAAAUUCAUGCACAUAUAUAGAAAAAGAUUAUGCAUUUAAUUGUCAAAAGAAAAGUGUGUUAAUGAAAUAAAAUAAAUAAAUUUAUAUAGUUGAGAGAGACCUCAUCUUUUUUAGUUUGAGGAAGCAGUGGAAUUUGGUCAUCUCUUGGGGUAAUCUCAAUGGAGUGAUCUCCCAUACUUCUUUCUUCAACUAUAAGUCCUACAAAAGAAAGUGGUUUGUUUUUAAAGAAAUUUUGAUCGAAAUAAGUCAUUAUUUAAAACCGUUUAUCAAAAUAAUAUAUUUUUCUGAAAUUUUACAAAAUUAGAAUAAACAUAUUUCUUAAUAACGUUUUGGCUUUAUUUCAUUCAAAAGAAUUCAAUGAAAAAAUACAAAGAUCUGACGGAGUAAAUAGAUAUAAAAUGUUACUAUCAGUAACGUUUUAUAAUUCGUCACUCUGACACACAUUUUACACCUAAUUACGUUACUCAGAAAAAUGUUGGAGGCAGAGGCCAAUUAAAGGAUCAUUCAUAGACUCAAGGUUGAGAUUUGAGAAUUCAUCCUCUAUUUGUAAACAUAGGAAAAUUAGAAACAAAAGUGUUGAAGGCAGAGGCAAAUAUAGUUAAUAUUCUACGGGGUAGACUAUAGACUUAAUAAUUUUUUACAAGAAAAAAUAAAAAUAAAAUAAAUAUAUAUAUAUAUGUAAUGUAAAAAUCACUAGAAUUCUAAAGAAACGUUACCGUAAUACCUCAGAGUAACAAAUUAUAAAACGUUAUUGAUAGUAACAUUUAAUAUUUGCUUAUUCUGAAUAAAAUAUUGCCUAAAACGUUAUUGAGAAGCACGUUUAUUCUAGUUUCGUAAAACUUCAAAAAAUAAAAACGUAUUAAUUUGAUGAAUUGAUUUAAAUAAUAACUUUGGUCAAAAAUUCAUUUUUUUAAAUCAAAUUAAUUACAAAAUUUGAUUUGAAAAAGAAAAGACAAGCAAAAAGGAAAUCAAUUUUAAUUUUCUUGUAGCUUUAUGAAAAAGAACCCUAUAUACAUGUCUUGUCAUAACCUGUAGAAAAAUAAACUAAUUUGAGGUAACCUGGCUUAAUAUAUACAUAUAUAUAUAUAUAUAUAUAUAUAUAUAUAUAUAAAACAUUUAAAAUAAUAAUUACCUUUUUGAUUUAUCUAUUUAUAAAUUGAAAAUGGACUAGUUGGAGUGUACUUGAGUUUCUUCUUAAAUUCUUCUCUCUUCAAAUUUUAUGAGGGUGAAGAAUGAGAGAUGGAGAAUAAAAAAUUCUAUAUGAGUAUUAUAUAUAGAUUUUCUUUUGUGUGAUUGCAAGCCUACCUAUAUUACUAACAUGAAAUAAUGUACAUUUUUGAGAAAAGUAUCAUGGAAUAAAUAAAGCUUCAGUAUUACAGAAUAAAUGAAUAAUAUAUAAAUCAUAGAAUAAAUAAAGUUUCAAUAUUAUUGAAUAAAUGUGUAAUACAUAAAUAUGUCUUUUAGUUUGACCUUGACUAAUAUUUAUACCCCUUCUAACUUUGCGUGUGCCCAAAUAAACACUUAAAUUUGUACAGAGUUGAACAAACAUAUGCACAGAUUCUCCGUGGCAUCCUACAUAGGGCUGGACAUUCGGUAUUUCGGUUCGGUUUUGGUUUUUUUUUUGGUUUUUUUGGUUUUUGGUUCUUGUACAACGUGUACCGAACACCGAAUCGAAAUAAUUUGGUUCGGUUCGAUUUAUGUUAUUUCGGUUCGGUUUUGUUAAUUUAGUUUUUUGUUAUGGGCCUGCUUAGUGGGAUUUUUAAAAUUUUGUAAUUUUUUUGUUUAUUUUAUUUAUAUUUAUUUCUUUUUGCUUAUUUUACUCUGUUUUUCGAAUUAUUGUAUGAUUCAAAAUAAUAAGUUGUCAUUAACAUUGAAAUUUAGCCUUGUUAUAACAUUGAAAUUUACCGAUCGUUGCUGUGCUGCGGCUGCCUGCUGGUCGACUGGCGACUGUUGCGUACUGCUGGUCGCCGGAAUGGUCGACGCUGCUGUAGUCUGUAGACGACUAGACGUGGGAACGGUAAUUUUUGCCUUUUGGGAAGUGGGUCUGUAAAGUUGAAAAGUUUGAAAAGACAAAUUUUUGUUUUUAAUUUUUAAUUAUAAUAUUUAUUAUUUAAUAUUAAUAAUUAAUAUAAUAUUAAUAUAUAUUAUAAUAUAAUAUAUUUCGGUAAAUCGAAAUACCGCAUUACACAAAAAUUACAUACCGAAAACCGAACCAAAAUACCAAAAAAUACAAAAACAAAACCGAAAACCGAAAUAUCGAAAUCGAAUUACCAAAAUAAUUCGGUUCGUUCGAUUCGAUUCGGUUUUUCGGUGAUUAUGCGCAGCCCUAAAUUUCUACAUGUGUUUUGCCACAUAAAACGUGUGUUUGUGGCAUAAAGUUAGAUGUCUAUUGAGGCAAACAAAAAGGUAUAUAUGCCUAGAAUAAAUAAAGCUUCAGUAUCAUAGAAUAAAUUAUUUUUUUCUAUCAUUUAUCACAUAGGAUAGGCCAAGAGUCAUCCAAAGUUAAAUUAUUUUUUUCUAUCAUUUAUCACAUAGGAUAGGCCAAGAGUCAUCCAAAGUUAAAUUAUUUUUUUCUAUCAUUUAUCACAUAGGAUAGGCCAAGAGUCAUCCAAAGUUAAAUUAUUUUUUUCUAUCAUUUAUCACAUAGGAUAGGCCAAGAGUCAUCCAAAGUUAAAUUAUUUUUUUCUAUCAUUUAUCACAUAGGAUAGGCCAAGAGUCAUCCAAAGUUAAAUUAUUUUUUUCUAUCAUUUAUCACAUAGGAUAGGCCAAGAGUCAUCCAAAGUUAAAUUAUUUUUUUCUAUCAUUUAUCACAUAGGAUAGGCCAAGAGUCAUCCAAAGUUAAAUUAUUUUUUUCUAUCAUUUAUCACAUAGGAUAGGCCAAGAGUCAUCCAAAGUUAAAUUAUUUUUUUCUAUCAUUUAUCACAUAGGAUAGGCCAAGAGUCAUCCAAAGUUAAAUUAUUUUUUUCUAUCAUUUAUCACAUAGGAUAGGCCAAGAGUCAUCCAAAGUUAAAUUAUUUUUUUCUAUCAUUUAUCACAUAGGAUAGGCCAAGAGUCAUCCAAAGUUAUAGUAGAAAAGGAGUCAUUAAUGAAAACUUUAAUUUGGUGUUCCAUAUACAAUGCUUUAUCAUCUGAUAAGAAUAUAAUUUAUUCUUCUCCCUGUACUUACAAGCAGCCAAAGAUUUUUAUAUAUUUCUCCCGACAAACAAUAACAUGUUACAUGAGGACCCUUAAACCCUUUUUGUGGAGAGUAUUUUUGCAAGUUUAAGUGCAUAUUUGUGCAAAUUCAAAGUUGGAGGACAUAAUUAUCUAUUGAAGCUAAGUUAAGAGUGUGAUUGUUUCUUCUUUUGUGUUUAAAUAAACCAUAAAUGAUGUUUACCAAUAAUCACUUAAUCAUAUUAUGAUUAUUAAAGUCCACUUAUUUUUUUUUUAUACAUAUCUUUGAAGGUACGAAAUUAAAAAAAUUAAAUUUAAAAUAUUUUUUAAAAAAAAUUGACGGGUGUGGCGGGGGAGGGGGGUUGUCNNNNNNNNNNNNNNNNNNNNNNGGGGGGUUGGUUUGUAAUUUGAAAUCUAAAAAAUAAAAAAAUUUGAAACAUUUUGAAUGGGGAGGGUCGGGUACGGGGUAUGGGUAGGGUAAGAAAAAAAAAUUAAAGGAUGAAGUAGAGUUUAGGAAAAUGUUUUCCUUAAUUUUGGAAGGGAAGUCAUUUUUCUUAAGUUUGAGGAAAAUAAAUUGAUUUGAAAAACAUUUAAGGCCAACCAAAUAUGAAAUUAAAAAUUGGAAAACAUUUUCCAGAAAAUGUUCUCCUCCAUACCAAACACGCUCUAAAUGGUAAUUACUUUUUCCUCAUUGAUUAAAGGCUUCAAGUUUAAGUCCUAAAAAAAAAAAUUCACCUUUCAAAAUGAGAUAUUCUAUCACAAAUUCAAAUAAAUUAAACUGUAAAAUAAGUAUCAAAUUAUAUAUUGAUUGACAAUAAUAAUAAAAAAAUAACAAUGACUAAGAAUAUUAUAAAUAGCGAUAUUUUUUUUUAUGUCUAUUCAACUCUUGCUUGUCCUGGAUUUUUCAUUGCUAUGAAGUAUCUAGAUACGUGUAGGGUAGGGGUACUGUCAAUGUUAGAUUCGAUCUCUUAUUUUAUAAAAUUUAUAUCAUAUCAAUUUUUGAUUAUUUUAUUUUACUUCAUAAUUUGUGGUUUAGUUAAUUUUCGAUUUUUUUUGUUAAAACAUUAUGAUAGGAAGAUGUGUAGGACAUAAAUUAGAGUAGAAUAUUAGUAGGUAAGAAUGCGAUCAUACUAGUUGUUGACACUCAAUUUUGGAUCUCCACAAUAUAUAUUAAUCAUCGAGUUUCUUAAAUUCCAAACGAUUUGAAAUAAUUGACUUUAUAAAAUUCAAAAUAUUUUUAAAGUUAUUUUAAAUAGUUUUGUCACAUUUUAUAAUUUUUAAAUAAUAUAUAUGUUUUAAAUAAUUAUGUACAUAAUUAGUAUAUUUUAUGAAUAUUCGAAAAUUGUCUCAAAGGGAUUUUAGUUUUAGUUAAAUGUUUUGUCAACUAAUUUGGUUUAAGUAAUAGUUUAUAUUUUUAAAUUAAUUAGUUUAUAAUUAAGUUAAUUAUUUUAUUUUGUUAAGAUUAAGAUACUCGUUUAUUAAUAUUAAUUCGUUUUCGUUAAUCUUUAGUUGGAUUCGCUAAUAAAAUUCAUCUGGCUAGAUUGUUAAUUCAUUCCUAACCUUUUAUUUGCAAUUUUAGCCAUUAUUUCCCCACCCUAAACCCAUUUGAGACCAAGUUUUGGGCCUAUUUCUUCAGUCCAACCGGCCCAAAUUCUACUCUAAAUGAAUCGGUCCACUCUCAAUUCUCUCAAAUGCAACAAGAUCCAGCCUACUUUAUUUUUCAACAAUCCAAACAUACAAUACACAAACAACAUACGUACAGCAAACGCUACCAGACCCCUGCGUUUUUUUCUUCUUCUUCCUCAACACGAAGAAACCCAGAAUCUCCAGCAAUCCAAAAUCGAGAACCCAGAAAGCCGACCCGAGUUCAGAAAAUCCAAGUCGCGUGACCCUCUUCUCUCCCUCGUUCUCCGUACAGAAUUCAGGUCUCUCCAUCUCCAUCUUUGAUCGUCCAUGUGAAAGAAUCGGACGGUCCCCUCUUUGAAUCCGUUGAGGAGGUGUACGAAAUGGAGUCAGCAGCCUUAUCCUCCAAGGGAGCAAUUCGAAUUUCAAGUUUCAAAUUCCAUCCAUUUCCCCCCUAAAUCAACCCUAGAAAUCCCCCUAUAUAAACCCUCCUCUAGUGCUCAAUCGGUUUUUUUACAAAAAAAAGAGGGAACAAAAACUCCAAAAAAUAAAAGCAAAGUAGUCGAGAGAACAGAGAAAGGAACAGAAAUAUAUAGCCUACAUUUUGAUAGUUUCAUUCGAACAUAGCGAAGCGGAGCAAAGAGGGUCCUCUUUGUUCAUUGCUCGCCGGAGUUCAUCGUAUUUUGUGGUUGUGGAAAGCUCUUCACCUCGAGUUCCCAGUUGCUGCCCGGAAAGGGGUAAACCUCUGUUUCGUUUGACAUUUAGUUGAUAUGCUUACUGUUUCUGCUCCUCUCAAUUACCUUGGCGUUCUUCAUGUUAUAAUUGAAUAAAUUUGAUGACCGUUUUAGCUAACUUCUCUGUUUGUGUCGGAGUCUCGUCUACUGUUCCAUAGAAAUAUGUCUGAAAGUUUUUUUUCAGUGCUUUGUUUCUUUUCUGAUCAGCUGUUAGUAUUAUCUUCAUAGUCUUAAGUGUUGAAUCUACUUAGUUUGUCUCUCUGUUUGUCAUCUGACUGUUAGUAAGAAUUAUUGCUUGUUUAGGUGUUUAUCGAUAUUCAUGCUUAUUGUUGCAAAUGAUAAUCUUACAGCUUCUUGUUUGGUGCUAUUGACAUCCCUUAAAGCAUAUGCUAUUAGCUCGGUUUCUCUAUUGAAAAUUGUUGUUGUGAUGCCUAUUUCGUCCGUUAGCAUUUUCUUUGGUUCUAUUGUUCAUGUUCUUUGGUUAAAUACUUCCUCGAAUCUCAAUCUGUUGUGUUUUCUUGCCUUGGCACCGCUCCAAGCUUGUUCUAGUGAUUGUUUGUUUUUGGGAAAAUUGUAUGAUCACUUGGUUUUCCUUAUUGAUCAAAUCUUGUGUUUAGUAUGGAUGAUAGGUGUUUGAUUGUAUUGUUAGCAUCCUAACUUUAACUUUGUCCUACUUGGGAAUUUAAGCAUGUUGGAUUUUGCUUAAAAAUUUUACUAAAUUUCAUUAUAAUUCUAUUGUUUUGAUGCGUGUGUUAAAAAUAUUUGGUCUAGUGGUCGUUUUCUUGCUCAUUCAUGUACGUCAUUACUUGAAUCUCUUGUUCUAAAAGAUGUUAAGAGUUCCUUGCUAGAGUUUAAUGAUGCUUUAAAAAUGGGGUCCUAAGGAGUUAGGUGUUGAUAUUUUGAUGUUCAUUAUUUGGAAAUGUUGUCCAGUAUCUAUUGUAAUGACCAACAUUGUACAAAAUUACAAAUUCCUUAGUUAAAUGUGGUCUUUCUUCAUUGUGUUUAGCAUCUGUUUUGGGCCUACUUCAUUAAUCAGCCAACUAAUGGCCUGAAAACAAAAUAAUUGUUUCCUGGUUCAAAUAGCUUCAUUUUUCUUACUUGAUUGAUGUACCUAUCAGUUGUUUCCUCGAUUUCCUCCAUCAUAUGCUAAUAUGUUAUUUUCUUUGUUUGGCAUGAACACCACAUGAGUCUAUUAUGGAUUCUUGUCUCCUAAUCUCUUGCAUCCUCAAGAUGAGCCAUGGAGGCUCGAUUUUUCCUUCAUCGAGUCAGCCUCCAUUUUACUUGAAUGUCGGGAGAGCCACACAAGGCUGGAAUUUGAACUUCCAAGCUCUGAAAAGGAUCGAAAACAAGCUGUUAUACAUGUUGUAUACACCGGUAGGAAAAUACAAUAUACAGGUUCGAAGCGCAGAAAUACAGGUGGAAAAGGCAAAAAUACGAAGUUCAAAUAAAAUUACAGGUCCGAGAGUUCGAGAAUUAGCGAUAUACAUGGUGUAUACAUCGAAUAUACACUUAGUGUAUAUCAUGGCAAAAUGAGAAUGAAAGGGGCCCAAAACCUUAAGUGAUUUCAGCAGGCCCAAAUGAAAAAAAAAUGGGCCAAAGCCUCAUUCAAAAAUUGUUGCAGGAACUUUGAAGAAUUGGGCCUAAAAGCCCAUUUUUGCUGAAUUUGGGAAAAGAACCCAAAUUCAAAUCUUCUCUCCUUUUUCUCCUUUAUUUAUAUUGUAUUAUUUGACUAACCUUGAUUAUCUUAUGGUUUAAUUUAAUUAAAUUCCCAAAGAUGGCUAUUUCAUGUUAUUUUCCAACUUAAAAUAUAUAUUUUAUUACUUAGCUCUUAUUUUAUUAAUUGUCCUGUCACUUAAGUUACUUUUCUUUAGAAAAAAUUCCCCUUUAAUUCUAUCCCCUUAAGAUAAUUAUACAACAAUAAUAAUAACAAUAAUAUAUAUAUAUAUAUAGUAACAAGCGAUGAAUUUCUUUUACUUAGUUGAAAUUUCAAAGGUUAGUCGAAACUCAUUUUUAGUCAAAUCGCCGGCGGUCAAUCGCAAGUUAGCGGACAUUUCGAAGGCUUCACCUUCUCGGAAUGUAUAUUGAACUCGAACUUUUUUAUUUUCAAUUGAUUUUAUCUGUUUAAGUCUUUUGAAAACCUUAAGUUUUUUCUUGAUUUUUACUAAAAAUUAAGUGGCGACUCUGUUUAUUUUGGAAAUUUGAUUUCUCUUAAAUCAUAAGUUUAAUUGAUUUUUUGAAAACUUAGUUAUUUUUCUUUUAUUUUAUAUUUUCAAGUAAAACACUAGUAAGUAGGACUGCAUUUUCUUGUUACCCUUACUCGUAGUCAUAGGACUGUACAGUCUUGUAGUUUCUUAACUAUCCUUCAAUUUUUGUUGCUAUCUAUGACUUCGUGUAGUUCAAUUAUAAUAUUAUUUUAUUGUAGUAGUGUUCUACUAUACUAUCGAAAAUAGCCUCUUUAUCUCAACUAAUAGGUAGAGGCAAGGUUUGAGUACACUUUACCUCCCAGACCCCACUUUGUAGGACUACACUGGAUAUGUUGUGUUGUUGUUAUGUAAGAGUCAUAAGUAGAAGUUAGAACACGAUACUAAGUAUACUUUGGUAGAAUUUUAAUUUGAUAAAAACUCUCUAGACGCUUUUACAAAUUAAAAAGUGAUGCAUCAAAAAAACAUGAAAGACGUCAGUAAUAAAGUUCUAUCCCACUUUUUUACAUGCGAUGAUAAAAAAAUAUGAAGUUAAACAAAGAUAAACAAAUUGAAACGAAGUGGCUCAAGAAUUGGGUCUUCUAAAAUACAUCCAAUAAGAGAAAUUUAAAUCAUAUAUUAAAGGAAAGAUAUCUAUUAUCUUACAGCUUACUACUCAAAUUAAAAAAAUACCAAUGUAAUCAAUAUAAGUAGCAUAUUAUUAGGUUUAGGAGAUGGAUCUUUAGGUACAAUUGAGACAAUUACUAUUUACUUAACGACAUUUAUCUAGAAUGUUGGUUAUUAAAAGUACCUAUAUUAUAUUAUUACUGUUAAAUAUAAUAUAGUGACAAUUAUAAUAUUCUCGCAAAAUUAUUUAUUUGUUAUAAUGUAUUGGAUGGGAUGUUGUAUAAGACAUUUAAAAAUUACCUGAUUCAAAACGGACUAGUUAGAGUGUACUUGAUUUCUUCUUAAAUUAUUUUGCUCUGCUUAACUUUUAUGAAGGUGAAGGAAUAUGAGAGAUGGUGAAUAUUAAAGGGCAUCUUACAUAAAUCUCACUACUUUAGAUCCCAAUUACUAGGAUUCCCGAUAGUUUGUAAUAUUACUUUUUAUACCAUAAUUUGGCCCCGAGAUACAUGUAUCACUGAUGGCGAGAUACAUGUAUCCAACCGUUUUAAAAGCUGAGAUACACAAUUUAUUAAUUUAAAUUAAAGGGGUUGUAACUUAUUUCCUUAAUUAAUGGAUUAAUUGCUGACUAAUUAACAACUCAACAAAUUUACAAGAUCUUGAGUAUCAUCUCUAACAAAUAUUCCUAAAAUAACGAAAUCAUAAACCUAAUUAAUUAUGUUAUUGUACUCUUAGGAUUAACCUCUUCAUCUCUUCUUCAUCAGCUUGAAUCAUUAAUGACGAGAUACAUGUAUCCAAGCCGAGAUACACGAUUUAUUAAUUUGGAUUAACCUCUUCAUCUUCUUCAUUGACUUUAAUCAUUAACGGCGAGAUACAUGUAUCCAUCAAUUUUUAAAAGUGAGGUACACGAUUUAUUAAUUUGAAUUAACCUUUAACAAGAAUCAUCUGAUUUUGUAAACAGUCAACCAUUAAAAUAGUUGAGAAACAACAAAAACAAAUAAUGUAAAAACCUGCACAUGGCUUCAUUGGCGUCCAGCGACUCGCGUCGGAGUAAGGAGGAAGUAUUUAAUGUAAAUUGAACUGAAACAAGUAAUUGGAAGAAUUGCAGAGAAGAAGAAAUGCCUAAAAAGUAGAGAACAAAGAAGAAGUACAAAAAAUUCUUGUUUAGAAGGGUGGUUGCCUUUUUGCCUUCUAAAAUGUUAUACCAAAGAUAUAAUCACACUCUAAGCAAAAAGAUAGUGCACAACAUUACAUUCAUAAUGCGGUUAUAUGAAAACGCAAAGUUUUGUCAUUUCCGGAGUUCUUUUUCGGAUUGAGGGUGGAAUCUGGUAAGGGCUGGGGUGGGGGGAGAGAUAUUGUUGGGGGAGAAGACUGAAGGAGGUUGAAUUGAUAAUUAUUCAAUACCAUAUUUAAGGGAUUUGUGUAUCUGAUUUAAUUUUCUUAAAUAUAUGGUAUAAUUAUUAAAAAGUGGUAUUAUGAGUAAUAUUUUUAAACUAUAGGUAACAUAUGUAUAAAUAGUAGUUAAGUAUGUCUAAUUAUGUAGUUUAUCCUAAAUUUAUUAAAUUCGAUAUGGGUAUACUAUAUAUAGAUUAAUUGCAAACCUGCCUAUAUUACUAACAUGAAAUAGUGUGCAUUUUGAGAAAAGUAUCUUAGAAUAAAUAAAGUUUUAGUAUCAUAGAAUAAAGUGUAUAUAGACAUUACAUUUAAGAAAACAUAUCAUAGAAUAACACUUUGAGUGUGUGUUCAAGCCACUAUUUAUUUUAAAAUUUGAUAUCAAGUUUAAUUGAAGAACAACACUUUUAGGGUAAAACAUAUCAUAGAAUAACACUUUGAGUGUGUGUUCAAGCCACUUUUAUUCUAAAACUUGAUAUCAAGUAUAAUUGAAGAACAACACUUUUAGGGUGUGUUCAGUAUGAUGGAAGAUUUGCUAUUUUUUCUGAAAAAUAUGUGAGUUUCUUAUUUAUUUUUAAUGUUUGAUAAAUAAGUUGAAUAUAAUAUUUGUAUAAAAUUUAAGCAAGCACAAUUCAGGUUGGCAUAGGGGUUAAGGAUGUGAGGGUAGUGGGGAAGAGGACUAUGAGAUUGGUACAUAGGCAUAUUCAUAAUUUCAAUAGGAUAAGUGCAUUAUUUUGAAAAAGGACGAUCUAUGAUAUAUUUUCUUAGAUUGGAGAGAAGUAACCAUUUUGUGCAGUUGAUUUUCUUCUUUAAGAAUCUGAUCCAAGAAUUGACAAUAUGCUCUGUUUCACUAUACUUGCCUUUAGGGGUGGGCAUUCAAUAUUCGAUUUGGGAUUUUCGAAUUUUGGAUUUGGUAAUUCGAUAAAAUUGGUACAAUUCGGCUAUAACUUCAAAAUCAACGAAUUAUGAUUGAAAUUCAUGUCAAAACUAGUCUAACUCUUACUCAAAUUUUAGAAUCAAAUUGUUGGGUUCGAAAGAAUCAGAGCAUCAUUCAUAAGCUUACAAUUGCAAAUCAUGUUGGGGCUAAGUCAGGUGACAACUAAAAAUUAGAGAAAAGGCUCAAAUAUAUCAUCGAACUUUGAAAAAAGGCUCAUCUAUGCGAUGCAUCUGUUAAAAGUUUGGCUUAUCCAUGCCAUUUCCGUUUCAGAAAAGGCUCACUCAUACCAUUAUUUUGUUAACCGAAAACAAUUUCGAUUUUGCAAAAUCAUUGUUUACACGUGGUCAAUUAUGAUUCGGCCACACCAUUAAUUAAAUCAUUUUUUAAAGAGAAAAACCCAAAUAUAUCAUCGAACUAUGAGAAAUGGAAAAAUGUUCAUCUAUGCCAUCCGUUAAAAGUUUGGUUCAUUUAUACUAUUUUAGUUUACAAAUAAUGACAUGGACGAACCUUUUCUUAAACAAAAAAUGACAUAGAAAACAAACAUAUCCAUAUUUGUUGAUUUAAAGGGUAUAAAUGAUGAAGUUCAAAAAUGAAAAAGGCUAAAUAUAGUCAACUUGUUUGUUGGAAAUCAUCAACUAACAGGAAUAUAUGAACUCCGGUAAGAGGAUAUAAUUUGGAAGAAUUAAUCAAUGUGUUAUUAUCGCGGAAAUAUCAUCGAUUAACUAGCAUACAAUCAUAAAUAAAGAAAAUAGAGAAGAAAAAAAACACAAGAAUUUAACGAGGUUUGACUAUGCCUAAUCAUUCAAGCAAAAGCAGAGAGAGUUUUCUUCUAUGAAUGAAAAGAAGAAAGUGUACAAUACUUUCAAGUGUUGACACCCAAUUUUGGACCUCCACAAUAUAAAUUAAUCAUCUCGAGUUUCUUCAAUUUUAAACGAUUUAAAAUAAUUAGAUUUAUAAAAUUUCAAAAAAAAUAAUAAAUAAUAAUAAUAAUAGUAAUAAUAAUAAUAUAGUUUGCAAGAUUUUUAAAUAGUUUGUCACUUUUUAUAAAUUUUAGAUGAUAUAUAUGUUUUACAUAAUUAUGUAUAUAACUAGUAUAUUUUAUGAUUAUUCGAAAUAUCGUCUAAAAAAAAAAGAAGAUUUUUAUAUUUUAAAUAUUAGGGAUGGUUAUAAUUUUGAGUUAAUGAGUUUCAUGAAAUUCAAAAUACUUUCAAGUUAUUUUUAAAGUAAUUUUAUCACUUUUUAAUAAUAAGUAUGUAUAGUUUUGCAAUCACGCUAUUUUAUAAAUAUUUAAAAAUUAUCACAAAAGAUUUUACAUUUUAGUUAAAUAUUUCAUCAAUUUGCUUUAAGUUAUAGCUAUAAUUUCGAGUUAAUUAGUUUUGUAAUUGAAUUAAUUAGUUUAUAAUUAAGUUCAUUAUUUUUAUUUUGUUGAGAUUAAAAAACUCAUUAAUUAAUUUAUAUUAAUUCGUCUUAUUUGGCUUUUUAGUCGAAUCACCAAUUAAACUCUAUUUGGCUAACUUGUCAAUUUUCUAGGCCAUAAUUACAAUUCUUGUGACUAUUUCCUAAUUUGCAAAACCUAUCCACAUUUUGACCCUAUUUUCAGCCAAGAAACGGGCCUGAUUCCAUUUCCUAAACUAAUCCCUCCAGCCCACACCCUUAGCUCCGACCCGGCCCAACUCUUUGUCAUCAACAAAGAGACCCAGUAGAUGAACAUCACAGCAGCUUCCAAACAUCAACAAUACAAUACAUCACACCAUACGUAUAUACACAGUAUCCCACCGCCCAACUUCGUCUUCCUCGCUGCAAAUCAGCGAUUCUAACAGCACCCCGACCCCACUGCCCAUGCUCGUUUUCUUCUUCCAGACGAAACCCAGAAGGCUAGUAAACGUCAACAUCGACAGUCGCUCAGACCGGAAAUCCCGCAGCAAAUCGCGUCCUCCACUUCCCCUCUCCCCUCUUUUCCGUUGAAAAUUGGUACAAUGGAAAAUUCAUUUCUUAUCUCUUCAAGAUUUUUGAUUUUUCAAAUUGGAUUCGGAUCCAUCUUUUCAACCCGAUUUCCCCUCUAAAUCGACCCCAAAUUCCCCUAUAUAUAAACCCCCACUGCCUUCAUUCUUAAGGGGGUUGGGAGAAAAUUUUAGAAGAGUUAUAGAGUUGGCCAGAAUUUACUCACGAAAUAUAGGUUAUAAAGGUCUAGGAAUAGUCAAUUUUACAUUUUGAAAAGCUCUUGGAAGACUAGUUUAAGAGUUUCGGAAAGUUUAUUAUUCGGGUUUCAUUUGGAUUCUCUUGGUGUGUUGUUCGAGCUUUGAAUCCGUGUGUUGGAAAAUUUGAAACCAAGCUCCCAUCUGUCCCGGAACGCUGCUCCGAAGAAGGUAAUUCUGCCUCUUCUUACAUUUUAUUUCGGUAUGAUGUGUUGUAUGUCCGAGCUUUUACUACAAGUCCUACUAUUAAGUGUGUUUGGUUCCGAGUCUUCCUGUUUCCUUUACUGUCGUUUCUUAUGAAUUUCUGGGCACAUGACUCAAGUUUUGAUAAAGCUUCUUUGGUAUUAAGAUGCUAGUCGUUAGAUUCGCUGGUUCAACGGGGUAUCAAAAUGAUGUACUGUUCGAUUGGUUUCGACUUUGAAUAUGCUAUAUGUAUAAGUUUGAUUGGUUAUCCUCUCUAUCGUUUUAUUCAUUAUGAUAGACUCUCAUUUAUAUUAGCUCAAUCUCAUGCUAUAGUUAAAUAAAAUCUCUGCUUUUACAUACUUGAGUGCUGUCCAUGUCUUGUUAUUGUUUUGUUUCUUCUGGUCUCAAAGCAUGGUGUCAUUAUAACUCGCUUGUUUCCAUGAUCCACAACCUCGAUGCUAAAACCUCUCAUCCUUUCCAUGAAAAACAUUGUUUCCUGACCAUGUGAGUGUAUUGGCAUCUACAUUCUAUUUUAUUAUGUCAAAUAAAGUUUAUCUUCAUGAUAAGUAUCGACUAUUUGUACGAUGUGAUUAACGAGCUCAAUAGUCUAAGUGUAAGAUUGACCUCCUUGGCUUUCUCUGUUAAGUAUUUCAUUUCAAGCUUGUUGAUAGUUUCAUUAUUGUGCAACGGUAGAUGAUUUCUAGCAUUUAAAGUUGUCCAGCUUCAGUUUUGUGUAGCAUUAAUCAUGUUUGAGAGUAUGAGUAAGUGCUCUAAAUUUGUUUGUUUGUUUAUUAGUAUCUAAUGUAGUCCUUAUAUUUUUGCUAAAAAAGAAACAAUAAAAAAUCAAUAAAUAAAUAUGCUUUACUUUUCACAUGUUUCCAGUUGUUGAUAUUUAUUGUUUAUGAUAUGAAUAAUCACGGUUCCCUUUCAAUUAUCUCUUUUAAAUUAUUUACUUUCCGAAUUGAUAUCCUUCGUUUCUUGUCGGUGGGUGAUACUUGAACCUAAUGUGUAUGAGUACGGUUGUCUCGCAUUAUUAGAAUGAAGCUUUAAAUUUGUAUGUCUGAGAGUUGCUUAGAUACUAACGUAUAAAGAUAGAUAUCACUAGAGUUGCCCUUUUAGUGUUGGCUUAUAGCAAUAUUUGUUGUUCAAAUGCACUUGUAAACUUGUCCUUAGUUGCUAAUAAUCUGCUCGUUGAUACUAGUUUGCAUAAUGUGGUCACUGCCACAUAGAACUUAUUCACUGAUUUAGUUGUAUUCUUCCAUUUCAGCUCUCUUUUGAGUUAUUUGUAUUGUAUAAGUAGUCUUUCAUUAUCAUUAAAUAUGCCUUAUCUACAUACACAUCCUCCUUGCCUUAUGCAGUUGUGAUUAGUAAUCAAUUUGUUUAGUUAUCUAUUGAUCUUGUUUCAUCUCUUUAGUAGAUAUUAUGUAUAUUUUGUUUAGUUUGGAAACUUUCUCUAAUGGCUUGUCCCAUUCUUAAUUAGUUUCCACAAUUAGCUCUCAUUUUGAAUACAAUAUCACCAUCCUGUUGUCUAGAAAUAUAAUGUUAUUAAUUAGGUUCUCAUCUCUUAAAAUAAUUUAUGUGUCUACCUUCGUCUAGAGUUAAUUACUUGAUCAUAAAUUUGAUGGAAGUUUUACCCCUUUUUUUUCUGUUUAUUGUUGUUUUCCUCAUGUGAUUGCUACGGUCUUUUUCUAAUGAUUCACUGUGUCUCAUUUGGUUCUCUUUGCAAAAUUUGAGCUUAAUUCUUAAACUUGAAUAAUUUACAAAUGCUAAUCUCUUUGUUUUACUUUAUGUUUUGCAUGCGAAACUCCAUCCGAGUCCCUUUGGACUCAUCUCUUGCAUAUCCUCGAGUUAUUUCGAGUCAGCUUCAUCUUGUUCGAGUUGCUGGAAAGUGAAAUUACAGGUCCCGAAAAGUCGAAAGUGGUUAGUAUACACUCAGUAUACAGCAGUAUACGCUGACAUUCAGGCCCAAAACGUAAAAGUACAGGGCUGAGGCGACAUAUAGGUGUUCGGAAGCAAGAAAUACCUGAAAAGAGCUAAUAUAUGCGGUCAUAUACACUGAUAUACAUCCACUGUAUACCAAAAACGGGAUUGGGUUAAAACCCAAAAAAUUCCAACGAAUUUGGCCCAAAAGGAGGCCCAAAUUCAUUUUCUCCCUUACUCUUUAAUUAUAUAAUUGUGAUUAUUUAUUGUUUAUUGUUUAACUCUAACUUUAUAAUCGCAAAUCAACUUAGUCGAAUUCCCCAAAAGACGAACUAUCUCUCUGUGUUGUUUUGUUUCUAACAAAAAUCUUAUUUUUAUCAAUUUUUGUAUUUUC